rnacentral:rRNA from 1 species
UUUACAUUUGAGUGAGUGGCGAACUGGUGAGUAACACGUGGGAAACCUGCCCAGAAGCGGGGGAUAACACCUGGAAACAGAUGCUAAUACCGCAUAACAACUUGGACCGCAUGGUCCGAGUUUGAAAGAUGGCUUCGGCUAUCACUUUUGGAUGGUCCCGCGGCGUAUUAGCUAGAUGGUGGGUAACGGCUCACCAUGGCAAUGAUACGUAGCCGACCUGAGAGGGUAAUCGCACAUUGGGACUGAGACACGGCCCAAACUCCUACGGGAGGCAGCAGUAGGGAAUCUUCCACAAUGGACGAAAGUCUGAUGGAG